UUAUAUAUGCCUGCCCAGUGACACGCUGUUCACGGCCGCGGUAUCCUAACCGUGCAAAGGUAGCAUAAUCACUUGCCCAUUAAUUGUGGGCUACAAGGAAGGGGGUAACGAAACAAGGGCUGUCUCAAUUAAUUACCUAAAAAUUAUUUUCUACCUGAAGAAACGUAGAUGAACUCGAAGGACAAGAACACCCUAUCCAGCUUAAUACAAAUUAUAUAUUUACUAUAAAAAUAUUCGGUUGGGGCGACCCAGGGAUAAAAAUCACCCACUAAACAAAAGAUAUAUUAAUCACAUAAAUGACCCUUAUAACAUCCAAAGAACAAGCUACCUUACGGAUAACAGGCUAAUCUCACUAAAGAGUUCUUAUCACCAGUGAGGAUUGGCACCUCGAUGUUGGCUUAGGGUAUCUAUAUGGCGCACAAGCUAUAUGAAGAUGGUUUGUUCAACCAAUGAAAUCCUACGU
rnacentral:rRNA from 1 species